GAUGAACGCUGGCGGCGUGCCUAAUACAUGCAAGUCGAGCGAACAGACGAGGAGCUUGCUCCUCUGACGUUAGCGGCGGACGGGUGAGUAACACGUGGAUAACCUACCUAUAAGACUGGGAUAACUUCGGGAAACCGGAGCUAAUACCGGAUAACAUGUUGAACCGCAUGGUUCAACAGUGAAAGACGGUCUUGCUGUCACUUAUAGAUGGAUCCGCGCCGCAUUAGCUAGUUGGUAAGGUAACGGCUUACCAAGGCAACGAUGCGUAGCCGACCUGAGAGGGUGAUCGGCCACACUGGAACUGAGACACGGUCCAGACUCAUACGGGAGUCAGCAGUAGGGAAUCUUCCGCAAUGGGCGAAAGCCUGACGGAGCAACGCCGCGUGAGUGAAGAAGGUCUUCGGAUCGUAAAACUCUGUUAUUAGGGAAGAACAAAUGUGUAAGUAACUAUGCACGUCUUGACGGUACCUAAUCAGAAAGCCACGGCUAACUACGUG
rnacentral:rRNA from 1 species